UACGUAGGGACCGAGCGUUUGUCCGGAAUCAUUGGGCGUAAAGAGCUCGUAGGCGGCUUGUCGCGUCGAAUGUGAAAACUCGGGGCUCAACUCCGAGCUUGCAUUCGAUACGGGCAGGCUAGAGUUCGGUAGGGGAGACUGGAAUUCCUGGUGUAGCGGUGAAAAUGCGCAGAUAUCAGGAGGAACACCGGUGGCGAAGGCGGGUCUCUGGGCCGAUACUGACGCUGAGGAGCGAAAGCGUGGGGGAGCGAACAGG
rnacentral:rRNA from 1 species